rnacentral:rRNA from 1 species
UACGUAGGGGGCAAGCGUUAUCCGGAUUUACUGGGUGUAAAGGGAGCGUAGACGGUAUGGCAAGUCUGAAGUGAAAGCCCAGGGCUUAACCCUGGGACUGCUUUGGAAACUGUUAGACUAGAGUGCUGGAGAGGUAAGUGGAAUUCCUAGUGUAGCGGUGAAAUGGGUAGAUAUUAGGAGGAACACCAGUGGCGAAGGCGGCUUACUGGACAGUAACUGACGUUGAGGCUCGAAAGCGUGGGGAGCAAACAGG